rnacentral:rRNA from 1 species
UACGUAGGGCGCAAGCGUUAUCCGGAAUUAUUGGGCGUAAAGAGCUCGUAGGCGGUUUGUCGCGUCUGCCGUGAAAGUCCGGGGCUCAACUCCGGAUCUGCGGGUGGGUACGGGCAGACUAGAGUGGCGGUAGGGGAGAAUUGGAAUUCCUGGUGUAGCGGUGGAAUGCGCAGAUAUCAGGAGGAACACCGAUAGCGAAGGCAGCUUACUAAGGAGUAACUGACGCUGAGGCACGAAAGUGUGGGGGAUCAAACAGG